UACGUAGGGUGCGAGCGUUGUCCGGAAUUAUUGGGCGUAAAGGGCUCGUAGGCGGUUUGUCGCGUCGGGAGUGAAAACCUUGGGCUUAACUCGGGGCUUGCUUUCGAUACGGGCAGACUAGAGGUAUGCAGGGGAGAACGGAAUUCCUGGUGUAGCGGUGAAAUGCGCAGACUAUCAGGAGGAACACCGGUGGCGAAGGCGGUUCUCUGGGCAUGAUCUGACGCUGAGGAGCGAAAGUGUGGGGAGCGAACAGG
rnacentral:rRNA from 1 species